AUGAGAACAAUUGAAAACAGCAGAAAAUCCAGAAUCACCUCAACAACGCCUGCUGUCAGUGUUACUUCAACAUCACCACAAGGCUGGUGGAGGGUCAUCAUGGUGUCUGUGGGUUUAGCAGCACUCGUAAUAACUGUUGUGGUGGUCAACAUAUGGAUGAGAACUAAAGGGAACAAAAGCCAGAUGGAUGGCGAUGCUGAGCAUCAUGAUGAAGAUGAAGGUACAGUGACCUAUGAAAACGUUGGAGAACCUUCUGUUUCUAUCAGACUCCACUGAUCAACAACUUCAAC